AGUUAGGCGGUGCACCUCCCAUGUUGGGCUGCAUGUUGGGUGGCCCUCCCAUGCCAGGCUGGUGCAUCCCGCCCAUGUUGGGCUGCUGCUGCUGCAUACCUCCCAUGUUAGGUUGCUGCUGCUGCAUUCCACCCAUGUUAGGGGGUGGUGCAUUUCUCAUAUUGGGAGGUCCACCACCCAUAUUGGAUCCAGGGUUCUGCAUCUCUCUUCUUCUCUCAAAAUUUCUGGACCUAUCAAAGUUACGAGGUCGGUCAUUACGUCUGUUUCUCUCAUUAGCUCGGGCAUUGUUCCUCACCCACUCCUCGUGGUAUUUCGGGUCAUAUGGUACAGCCUGCCCGUUAAUAAAAGGUUCUCCUGCAACAUGCACCACAAUAGUCAUACAAUACUGGUGUACCAGAAGAGAACAUGAUUAUAUCCGAACAGGGCAAGAUAGGCAUGUAUGAAAGUUCUGCAUGAAAAUGCUAAGGUUGAAUUUCUCAUAAAUUUUUCUUGUGCCAUCAUUACCCACAAAACAAAUUAUCAUAUGUAUUAAAUCAUAAAUGAACUAACUGUUCAGAAU